UACCUGUUUGUCACAUUUCAGGUGGAC
rnacentral:piRNA from 1 species